GGCUGCGUGCUUAGGGCUGUUCUUCUGGAAGGCGAACGCCCACCCCAGUCUGACUUUUGCAGCUUCUCAGAGGUUUCCUUUAAGGAUUGCUGUGCAUUUGGCUCGCUCCAUUUCCCCAUCAGCUAUGAAAACACCUCCACAGCAUGAUGUUGCCGCCAUGCAAGUUUCUUUAUUGUCACAUCUGCAAAUAGUUGCACGUAGUUUCAAAUUCUUCCACCUGAGCUGUGGAUCUCUGCAGCUCCUCCAGGGUUACCAUCCUCUCUUGCCUCUUGAAAGCAAUGUCUUUCUGACGCUUUACAAAUGUGCACUAAUUUGUGUUGGUCCCUCACAGAAAAUCCUUAUAAAAGCAGGGAAGUAUGUUGCAAUGUGACUAAAAAAAAAAAACUUUAACGGUAUGAUUACAUUUGAGCAAACUGCUUCAACGAAGCACAAAAUGUAGAAACAAGCGAGGUCGUCUUUGCAUUUUGGUUCUGCUUUCUAAUUUAGCGAAGAUACGAAAAAAACAAAAAAAGACAUCAGAUAACUGAGUUGGAUGAACGGAGAACUUCUGUUAGCCCUUCAUUUAAAGCUCAGUGAAGCGACUGAAAUAGCUUUAAGUAACAAACGUUGUGUGAGGAUUUGUGUGGCCCUAAUCUCCCCGUGGGACCCACAAAGCUGGCAUGGCCCCCCUGGGAAUGCCCGUAGCACUGUCCUCCGGCCCACUGGGGUCAUGGGAUACUUCCCUGUUGUUCCGGGGGCAAACUGCCCUCUGGAGUCUCACAUCUGACCUCUAAAGGGCACUCCGUCACUAGUCUUGGCCAGUUGUUGAGAAUUUCACACAAAACCGGAUUACUGCGCAGGUCUGUCGGCGUACAACGAUCCAUGCGACUUGGCACCUGGUAUUAGCGGGCCACAGAGGUAAACAAAGAGCCGCAGUGUGAAUUGGUUCUGUUUGGACUAAAUACAGAGUAGCCCUUUCCCAGCAGACCAGCCUGAGGUCAGAUUUGGUUGGAGCGACUCUCCUCAGCUGCAUACUCUGCAACUUUCCCAGGGCGCCCAGCCAAUUCACGCAAACCACCAAAUCGUAGCAAAUGUCAGUACCAGUUAGGAACUAAACAAGCCUUUUGUUAGGUACUUACCCUUUAAAGAGGCGUAUUUUUGCUCCGAGCAAGCUUCACAUAUUUUGACUGAGGCUGGGGUGGGGGGUUGGACAAACUAGACAAACCUGGUUAACAGAGAACUUGAUCCAUUAGAUUUGUCCUCGGUUACGAGUGGCGGGUUCACCACGCAGAGAAAGAAAACGCACACCAUGUGGACAACAGGCAAUGAAACGAGAAAGGCAACCCUCUUAUUUUCAUUUACUCAUGUCAAUUAAACCGAUCCUAAAUGCCCUCUUAGAGAAAACCUGUGUUCUCAUCAAAAACACAUUACAAUAAGACGUCAAACAACUAAGGCAGAAAAUGUUCUCAGUGAAAACAUUCUAGGUUAUACACAGUAUUGAAUAUUUGGCUGAGUGCACCACAUGGCUUUUGUCUGACGCAAGACUCACACACUAUUGACAGUAAGCCCUUCCCUUCUCUUCCUUAUCCUACAAGCGGGACUUCUCAAUGGGGCUCACGCGUUUUAGCAGCAACUUACCCAGCAGAUGGUUUUCUUUUAGAAAAAAAUAAAAAUAAAUCCUUGAAGCAGUUCGCCUGGGUUUCUAAGAAUCCGCUAAUGUUUUUAUAUAUAUAAUGUGGUACCAGGGAGGCUCUCCAAAGCUCCUUGGUAGUGAAGAGAGAAGAGAGAAGAGUGUGAGAGAGAUUAGAGGGCUGAGAGGGAGCUGGAGCAGGAAAUGGGAACACCCAUAUUUAACCCUUUGUUAAACCACUCACAGGUGGAGUUAGAGCUGCACGUACACGGCACAGAUCCUCUUACCUGUUCGCCGAAUUGGCGCAAAAACGGGUGGCUGUGUGACGGUAAUGACUUACCUGCUGCGCUCAGAGAGUCAGUGCUUCACAGAUGGCCAUCAUUUAAAACUAAGCUUUUCUUACAGGAUUUCCUUCAUUAAGCUACAUCCAUCUUCCUAUCAACUCUGGCCUGCAGAAGAAAAGCAUCUCCACGACAUGAUGCUGCCGCUACCAUGCUUUACCGUGGAAGUUGGUGUGUUCAGUGUUCAAUGCAUGGUUUGUUUUACACCAAAUUAUGCCCAACUUAAUCCCAUUAAAUCUCAAUAAAAUUCAACAGUCAACUUGUAGUGUGACAAAAAUAUGAAAAUGCUCACAGUACGUUGGUACUUUUGCAAGGAAAUGUAAGUAUUGACUAUUCAAGCAGAAAGUAGGAGAGCAAUGGAUGUCAUUCGAGGCAGCUCAUUUACAUCCUCCUCAUUGCCAUGGCGAUGGUAAUUAGCUUAGCAGAUCAGGGCUUUUUUCAGGAUGGCUCCCAUGUGACGGAGGAGCCACAGGUGCUGCACUCAAAACAAACUACGAAAGCCACACUGACACGUAACGACGGAAGUGACACAUAAAACCCACUACCUCGGCUGCUGCUGCAGUUCAGGUUGCAGAUCUUUAACCAUUUUCCCCCCCGUCGGUGACGUAGCGUACCAUUCAGCUGUUGUUUGAAUUAAA